UGGGGAAUAUUGCACAAUGGGCGAAAGCCUGAUGCAGCGACGCCGCGUGAGGGAUGACGGCCUUCGGGUUGUAAACCUCUUUCAGUAGGGACGAAGCGCAAGUGACGGUACCUGCAGAAGAAGCACCGGCUAACUACGUGCCAGCAGCCGCGGUAAUACGUAGGGUGCGAGCGUUGUCCGGAAUUACUGGGCGUAAAGAGCUCGUAGGCGGUUUGUCACGUCGUCUGUGAAAUCCUAGGGCUUAACCCUGGACGUGCAGGCGAUACGGGCUGACUUGAGUACUACAGGGGAGACUGGAAUUUCUGGUGUAGCGGUAGAAUGCACAGAUAUCAGGAAGAACACCGAUGGCGAAGGCAGGUCUCUGGGUAGUAACUGACGCUGAGGAGCGAAAGCAUGGGUAGCGAACAGG
rnacentral:rRNA from 1 species